rnacentral:rRNA from 1 species
CAUGUCCUUUUGAAGUUAAUUUAAGGUUUAAUCUGCUCAAUGAUAUUUAAAUUGCCGCAGUAUUUUGACUGUGCAAAAGUAGCAUAAUAAUUAAUUUCUUAAUUAGAAACUGGAAUGAAUGAUUGGACAAGAAAAUUUCUGUCUCUUUUUAAAUUUUAAAAAUUUUUGUUUUUAAGUAAAAAAGCUUAAAUUUUUAUAAAAAAAACGAUAAGACCUUAUAGAAUUUGAUAGUCAGUAUUAGUUUAAUUUUAGAAAUAAAUUUUAUAAUUGUUUAUUUGGUUGGGGGUGAUUUAAAGAUUAAAAAAUUCAUUAGUAUUUUAAUUAGUGAUUUCUAAACUGUAAUUCUAUUUUUUAUAAAAAUAAAAUAAAUUAUCUUAGUGAUAACAGCGUAAUUUUGGAAAAAAAGUUUGCGACCUCGAUGUUGGAUUAAAAUUAAUUUUUAGUGCAGUAACUUAAAAAUUAGAUCUGUUCAACCUUUAAAAUUUUACAUGAUCUGAGUUUAAACCGGUGUAAACCAGGUUGGAAUCUAUCUUUAGAAAGAUUAUAUAUUUUAGUACAAAAGAACCAAAUAUAUAUUGAAUUA